CCACACGACCGUACCGCAAACCGACACUGGUGCGCGAGAUGAGUAUUCUAAGGCGCUUGAGAGAACUCUGGAGAAGGAACUCGGCAAAUUGACACCGUAACUUCGGAAGAAGGUGUGCCUUUAGUAGGUGAAGUCCCUCGCGGAUGGAGCCCAAUGAGGUUGCAAAAAAUCGGUGGCUGCGACUGUUUAAUAAAAACACAGCACUCUGCAAAGACGAAAGUCGACGUAUAGGGUGUGACGCCUGCCCGGUGCUGGAAGAUUAAAUGAUGGGGUGCAAGCUCUUGAUUGAAGUCCCAGUAAACGGCGGCCGUAACAAUAACGGUCCUAAGGUAGCGAAAUUCCUUGUCGGGUAAGUUCCGACCUGCACGAAUGGCGUAACGAUGGCCACACUGUCUCCUCCAGAGACUCAGCGAAGUUGAAAUGUUUGUGAUGAUGCAAUCUCCCCGCGGAAAGACGGAAAGACCCCAUGAACCUUUACUGUAGCUUUGUAUUGGACUUUGAACAGAUCUGUGUAGGAUAGGUGGGAGGCUUUGAAGCAGGGUCGCUAGAUCUUGUGGAGCCAACGUUGAAAUACCACCCUGGUGUGUUUGAGGUUCUAACCUAGGUCCAUUAGCUGGAUCGGGGACAGUGCAUGGUAGGCAGUUUGACUGGGGCGGUCUCCUCCCAAAGCGUAACGGAGGAGUUCGAAGGUACGCUAGGUACGGUCGGACAUCGUGCUAAUAGUGCAAUGGCAUAAGCGUGCUUAACUGCGAGACUGACAAGUCGAGCAGAUGCGAAAGCAGGACAUAGUGAUCCGGUGGUUCUGUAUGGAAGGGCCAUCGCUCAACGGAUAAAAGGUACUCUGGGGAUAACAGGCUGAUACCGCCCAAGAGUUCAUAUCGACGGCGGUGUUUGGCACCUCGAUGUCGGCUCAUCUCAUCCUGGGGCUGUAGCCGGUCCCAAGGGUAUGGCUGUUCGCCAUUUAAAGAGGUACGUGAGCUGGGUUUAAAACGUCGUGAGACAGUUUGGUCCCUAUCUUCCGUGGGCGCUGCAGAUUUGAGGAAGCCUGCUCCUAGUACGAGAGGACCGGAGUGGACACACCUCUGGUGUAUCGGUUGUCACGCCAGUGGCAUUGCCGAGUAGCUAAGUGUGGAAGAGAUAACCGCUGAAAGCAUCUAAGCGGGAAACUCGUUUCAAGAUGAGAUCUGCCGGGGCCUUGAGCCCCCUAAAGAGUCGUUCAAGACCAGGACGUUGAUAGGUCAGGUGUGGAAGCGCAGUAAUGCGUUAAGCUAACUGAUACUAAUUGCUCGUGCGACUUGACCG
rnacentral:rRNA from 1 species